rnacentral:lncRNA from 1 species
GGAUUUGACAGGUCUGGAACACAUGCUAAUAAAUUGCUCAAAAAUGCUUCCUGCUGAUAUCACGCAGCUAAAUAAUAUUCCACCAACUCAGGAAUCCUACUAUGAUCCCAACCUGCCACCGGUCACUAAAAGUCUAGUAACAAACUGUAAACCAGUAACUGACAAAAUCCACAAAGCAUAUAAGGACAAAAACAAAUAUAGGUUUGAAAUCAUGGGAGAAGAAGAAAUCGCUUUUAAAAUGAUUCGUACCAACGUUUCUCAUGUGGUUGGCCAGUUGGAUGACAUAAGAAAAAACCCUAGGUACUGAUUUUUAUAUAUAAUUUUUAAUUAUGCAAAUAAACCUGAAUAAAAGGACUGGAAAGAAGGGAGUAGCUUAUUUCUGUAUGGAACAGACCAAAAGGCCUAACAGUGCAGGCAGUGUUGGAGCUGGUGGUUGAGUGAGAGAUAGGAGUUGCAAGUUGAGAUAGGGUCCCCCAUGCAGAGGGAUGAGCCUGAACUUCGAAGAACUGGGUUCUAUUAAUAACAAGCUGUUCAGAGAGACCCAGGGACAGAUCGCAUUGUGGGGAGGUG